AUGAACGCUGGCGGCGUGCCUAAUACAUGCAAGUCGCGCGAACAGACGAGGAGCUUGCUCCUCUGACGUUAGCGGCGGACGGGUGAGUAACACGUGGAUAACCUACCUAUAAGACUGGGAUAACUUCGGGAAACCGGAGCUAAUACCGGAUAAUAUAUUGAACCGCAUGGUUCAAUAGUGAAAGACGGUUUUGCUGUCACUUAUAGAUGGAUCCGCGCCGCAUUAGCUAGUUGGUAAGGUAACGGCUUACCAAGGCAACGAUGCGUAGCCGACCUGAGAGGGUGAUCGGCCACACUGGAACUGAGACACGGUCCAGACUCCUACGGGAGGCAGCAGUAGGGAAUCUUCCGCAAUGGGCGAAAGCCUGACGGAGCAACGCCGCGUGAGUGAUGAAGGUCUUCGGAUCGUAAAACUCUGUUAUUAGGGAAGAACAAAUGUGUAAGUAACUAUGCACGUCUUGACGGUACCGAAUCAGAAAGCCACGGCUAACUACGU
rnacentral:rRNA from 1 species